rnacentral:rRNA from 1 species
AGUGAACGCUGGCGGUAGGCCUAACACAUGCAAGUCGAACGGCAGCACAGUAAGAGCUUGCUCUUACGGGUGGCGAGUGGCGGACGGGUGAGGAAUGCAUCGGAAUCUACUUUUUCGUGGGGGAUAACGUAGGGAAACUUACGCUAAUACCGCAUACGACCUACGGGUGAAAGCAGGGGAUCUUCGGACCUUGCGCGAUUGAAUGAGCCGAUGUCGGAUUAGCUAGUUGGCGGGGUAAAGGCCCACCAAGGCGACGAUCCGUAGCUGGUCUGAGAGGAUGAUCAGCCACACGGGAACUGAGACACGGUCCAGACUCCUACGGGAGGCAGCAGUGGGGAAUAUUGGACAAUGGGCGCAAGCCUGAUCCAGCCAUACCGCGUGGGUGAAGAAGGCCUUCGGGUUGUAAAGCCCUUUUGUUGGGAAAGAAAAGCAGCAGGUUAAUACCCCGCUGUUCUGACGGUACCCAAAGAAUAAGCACCGGCUAACUUCGUG